CCUGAACGCUGGCGGCGUGGCUAAGACAUGCAAGUCGCACGGAGGUAGCAAUACCUUAGUGGCGAACGGGUGAGUAAUGUAUCGCUAACGUACCCUUUACGUUCCGGGACGUAGCCACGGGAAACGGUACUGGGUAAGUACCGGAACGUAAUUCUUCUUCCGUCCAUGGUUGGGUAGGACUCAAAGGAAGGCAAUACCGCCUGAAGGAAGGCGGGCGGAUAUCGUAUCAGCUAGUU
rnacentral:rRNA from 1 species